GUAAAAGAAUUGAAUGGAGAAGACUUAUGCCAAAGAUGACACAUGCACCACAGCUCUGUCACACUCUUCAGUGAAGUAUGUAGGAGAUGGAGAGGCUUCCUUGAGUCUCCAGAAAGGAACUGACAUGUGGAACUAAUAAUCAGAGAACAUGUCUCAACAGGAGAGCUGAACUCUUAAGAGGAAUAAUGGCCUCCCAGUUGUCACAGCGAAGCUCAAGGGCAAACAUAACCAUAGGACCUGGAGCACAGCCUGAUAGAAAAGGAGGCAAGACGUGAAAUAACAGAAGAUGGCAUUGAACACUGAGGUGAUAAAUAUGACAGCUACUGUACUCCUAAGGCCAGGAUGGAAAAACUUAUAAAAUCAGUAUGAUUCAGUGGAGAUGUAUAUAUAUUGUGAUAGGUUUAUCUAAACAGCAUUAUUAAGCAAUAUUUUUAUGUGCAAUACUAGUUAAGUAGUCUGCUGAUCCUUUACAGUAAAACCAGUAGACAUAAAGAGGUUGGACUCUGUUCUAUUAAACUGUACAGAUACUGAGUAACCUAGGCUCAAGCAUACCAUCCCAUUAACUUCAACAUAAAAGGUACCUAGACUUUUAGUUUAUGAGGAUAUUGGAAAUACUACAGGCAAGGAGGAUCAAUCACAAUGUUGUUUUUGCUGCGAUCAAUAGAAGACCUCUGUGACAAUAAGCUGUGAAAUGGUUUUCCAGAACAGCUUAUAUGUUUAAAGAGUAAAAUACGUCCCUUCAUGUGGCACUGCUACCAAAUAGAGGAUUUAAUUCAACCAUUAUUUUCCCUCUAGAGAGCAGAAUGUUGCAGCCUCCUGAUCUGACCCUCGCUGUUGUUUACUUCCUCAUUAAAGCCCUAUGAGUAUGCUGCACUUUGAUAUAAUGCACACAAUAUGCAGUUAUAAAUUUCCUUGACAGGCACUGUCUCUGGUUUAUCUAGUGAAUGCUAUUAUCAAGAUCCUAGUCCCGACUGAGCCCUCUG
rnacentral:lncRNA from 1 species